CAGAGGUCCCGAGCGCUAGGCGGAAUCACUGGGCUUAAAGCGUGUGUAGGCGGACUUGUAAGUACCUUGUGAAAUCCCACGGCUCACCCGUGGAACUGCUUGGUAUACUGCGAGUCUUGAGCCACCUAGGGGCGAGCGGAACAAACGGUGGAGCGGUGAAAUGCGUAGAUAUCGUUUGGAACGCCAAUGGUGAAAACAGCUCGCUGGGGGUGUGCUGACGCUGAGACACGAAAGCCAGGGGAGCGAACGGGAUUAGAUACCCCGGUAGUCCUGGCUGUAAACGAUGUCCACUAGACUGUGGCGGCUCUGACGCCGUCACGGUCGAAGCAAAAGUGCUAAGUGGACCGCCUGGGAAGUACGGUCGCAAGGCUA
rnacentral:rRNA from 1 species